rnacentral:rRNA from 1 species
GGAAUUACUGGGCGUAAAGCGCGCGUAGGUGGCUUGAUAAGCCGGUUGUGAAAGCCCCGGGCUCAACCUGGGAACGGCAUCCGGAACUGUCAAGCUAGAGUGCAGGAGAGGAAGGUAGAAUUCCCGGUGUAGCGGUGAAAUGCGUAGAGAUCGGGAGGAAUACCAGUGGCGAAGGCGGCCUUCUGGACUGACACUGACANUGAGGUGCGAAAGCGUGGGUAGCAAACAGGAUUAGAUACCCUGGUAGUCCACGCCGUNAACGAUGUCGACCAGCCGUUGGGUGCCUAGCGCACUUUGUGGCGAAGUUAACGCGAUAAGUCGACCGCCUGGGGAGUACGGCCGCAAGGUUAAAACUCAAAUGAAUUGACGGGGGCCCGCACAAGCGGUGGAGCAUGUGGUUUAAUUCGAUGCAACGCGAAGAACCUUACCUACUCUUGACAUCCUGCGAACUUGUGAGAGAUCACUUGGUGCCUUCGGGAACGCAGAGACAGGUGCUGCAUGGCUGUNGUCAGCUCGUGUUGUGAAAUGUUGGGUUAAGUCCCGUAACGAGCGCANCCCUUGUCCUUAUUUGCCAGCGGGUAAUGCCGGGAACUCUAAGGAGACUGCCGGUGACAAACCGGAGGAAGGUGGGGACGACGUCAAGUCAUCAUGGCCCUUACGAGUAGGGCUACACACGUGCUACAAUGGCCGGUACAAAGGGUUGCGAGCUCGCGAGAGUCAGCUAAUCCCGAAAAGCCGGUCUCAGUCCGGAUCGGAGUCUGCAACUCGACUCCGUGAAGUCGGAAUCGCUAGUAAUCGUGAAUCAGAAUGUCACGGUGAAUACGUUCCCGGGCCUUGUACACACCGCCCGUCACACCAUGGGAGUGGACUGCACCAGAAGUGGUUAGCUUAACCUUCGGGAAAGC